AUUGAACGCUGGCGGCAGGCCUAACACAGGCAAGUCGAGCGGAUGAAGGGAGCUUGCUCCUGGAUUCAGCGGCGGACGGGUGAGUAAUGCCUAGGAAUCUGCCUGGUAGUGGGGGAUAACGUCCGGAAACGGGCGCUAAUACCGCAUACGUCCUGAGGGAGAAAGUGGGGGAUCUUCGGACCUCACGCUAUCAGAUGAGCCUAGGUCGGAUUAGCUAGUUGGUGGGGUAAAGGCCUACCAAGGCGACGAUCCGUAACUGGUCUGAGAGGAUGAUCAGUCACACUGGAACUGAGACACGGUCCAGACUCCUACGGGAGGCAGCAGUGGGGAAUAUUGGACAAUGGGCGAAAGCCUGAUCCAGCCAUGCCGCGUGUGUGAAGAAGGUCUUCGGAUUGUAAAGCACUUUAAGUUGGGAGGAAGGGCAGUAAGUUAAUACCUUGCUGUUUUGACGUUACCAACAGAAUAAGCACCGGCUAACUUCGUG
rnacentral:rRNA from 1 species